rfam:Thermacetogenium phaeum DSM 12270, complete genome.
UGACGGAGGUUGUUACUCGCCCUUGACGAAGGAGCAGCAAACGGCAGCCGAAUCGAGACAGGAUGUCGAGAUAGGCGACUCUGCGCCAGGGAAGGCGCAUAGGAGCCGGUCGGCUGCCGUCUGCGACAAGUCUUAGGGCGAGUUAAACCGGAGUCC